rnacentral:lncRNA from 1 species
CUUUCCCUUCUCAUUUUUUUAUUAGAAGACAUUAUAAAAGAAAAAGAGGAAAGAUCAAUUUAAUCUCAAUGAAACUUGGAAGUCGGCCCCAGGCUUCAAAUAACUAAACUUCAUUUAAAUUAAGAGAACGAAAACGAAAGCGGAAAAUGCAGUUAGGGCAACAGUAUCGUACAAGAUAUUUCAAUGAAAUAACAUACUGCGAUUCGAAUCAAAACUUAUAAUCUAAAUAGAGUUUAAAAUUUGUGUAUUACCUAUUUUUUCUUAAUUUUCUUAGUUAUUACUAAUUACUAUAUUUUAGAAGAUUUCUAUUUAUUUUGAUUGCAACAAAAUCUUUCAGAAUUUGAUUUCAAGUUAGUAAUUUCUAGUUUUUUUCUUUCUUAUUCACUUUGGGUCGGAAAAUAGAAAAGUGGAAACUCAAAAGGAGGUUCAUGGCCAAAGGUAAAGGUG